GCCUAAGUAGCUCAGUUGGAAGAGCAGUCACCCGACAAGCAAAAGGUCGUGGGUUCGAUUCCCGCCUUGGGCA